AUUGAACGCUGGCGGCAUGAUUUACACAUGCAAGUCGAACGGUAACAGGCCGCCAGGUGCUGACGAGUGGCGAACGGGUGAGUAAUGCAUCGGAACGUGCCCAGUCGUGGGGGAUAACUACUCGAAAGAGUAGCUAAUACCGCAUACGAUCUAUGGAUGAAAGCGGGGGACCGUAAGGCCUCGCGCGAUUGGAGCGGCCGAUGUCAGAUUAGGUAGUUGGUGGGGUAAAGGCUCACCAAGCCAACGAUCUGUAGCUGGUCUGAGAGGACGACCAGCCACACUGGGACUGAGACACGGCCCAGACUCCUACGGGAGGCAGCAGUGGGGAAUUUUGGACAAUGGGCGCAAGCCUGAUCCAGCAAUGCCGCGUGCAGGAAGAAGGCCUUCGGGUUGUAAACUGCUUUUGUACGGAACGAAACGGCUCUGGUUAAUACCCGGGGCUAAUGACGGUACCGUAAGAAUAAGCACCGGCUAACUACGUG
rnacentral:rRNA from 1 species